rfam:Triticum aestivum genome assembly, contig: Triticum_aestivum_CS42_TGACv1_scaffold_030887_1BL
AAAGUACUCCCUCCGUCCGGAAAUACUUGUCAGAGGAAUGGACAUAUCUAGACGUAUUUUAGUGUUGGAUACAUUCAUUUUUAGUCAUUUCUGCGACAAAUAUUUCCGGACGGAGGGAGUAGAGA